rnacentral:rRNA from 1 species
CGGACGGGUGAGUAACGCGUGGGUAACCUACCCUGUACAGGGGGAGUAACAGUCAGAAAUGACUGCUAAUACCGCAUAAGACCACAGCACCGCAUGGUGCAGGGGUAAAAACUACCGGUGGUACAGGAUGGACCCGCGUCUGAUUAGCUGGUUGGUGAGGUAACGGCUCACCAAGGCGACGAUCAGUAGCCGGCUUGAGAGAGUGAACGGCCACAUUGGGACUGAGACACGGCCCAAACUCCUACGGGAGGCAGCAUG